UGAUGAUGGUACGGGCAAAUUUUUGAGCAUACCCUUAAAUCUCUCCCAAGCUUUGUAGAUAUUCUCUCCUUUUUUCUGUCUGAAACUCAAGAUCUCACUCCUCAAGCG
rfam:Capsicum annuum cultivar Zunla-1 chromosome 1, whole genome shotgun sequence